UACGAAGGGGGCUAGCGUUGUUCGGAAUUACUGGGCGUAAAGCGCGCGCAGGCGGCUAUCCAAGUCAGUGGUGAAAGCCCGGAGCUCAACUCCGGAACUGCCAUUGAAACUGUUUAGCUUGAGUACGGUAGGGGCAGAGGGAAUUUCCUGUGUAGCGGUGAAAUGCGUAGAUAUGCGGAGGAACACCGAUGGCGAAGGCAAUCCCCUGGGCCUGCACUGACGCUCAUGCACGAAAGCGUGGGGAGCAAACAGG
rnacentral:rRNA from 1 species